rnacentral:rRNA from 1 species
GCGAGUCAUUGUAGCAAUACAAGGCAGACGGCUCAGUAACGCGUAGUCAAUCUACCCUAUGGACGGGAAUAACCUCGGGAAACUGAGAAUAAUGCCCGACAGAACAUUAUACCUGGAACGGUUUAUGUUUCAAAUGAUUUAUCGCCGUAGGAUGGGACUGCGGCCUAUCAGUUUGUUGGUGAGGUAAUGGCCCACCAAGACUAUUACAGGUACGGGCUCUGAGAGGAGUAGCCCGGAGAUGGGUACUGAGACACGGACCCAGGCCCUAUGGGGCGCAGCAGGCGAGAAAACUUUGCAAUGUGCGAAAGCACGACAAGGUUAAUCCGAGUGGUUUCUGCUAAAGAAACCUUUUGCUAGUCCUAGAAACACUAGUGAAUAAGGGGUGGGCAAGUUCUGGUGUCAGCCGCCGCGGUAAAACCAGCACCUCAAGUGGUCAGGAUGAUUAUUGGGCCUAAAGCAUCCGUAGCUCGUUUUGUAAGUUUUCGGUUAAAUCCAUACGCUUAACGUAUGGGCUGCCGGGAAUACUGCAUAACUAGGAAGUGGGAGAGGUAGACGGUACUCGGUAGGAAGGGGUAAAAUCCUUUGAUCUAUUGAUGACCACCUGUGGCGAAGGCGGUCUACCAGAACACGUUCGACGGUGAGGGAUGAAAGCUGGGGGAGCAAACCGGAUUAGAUACCCGGGUAGUCCCAGCUGUAAACUAUGCAAACUCAGUGAUGCAUUGGCUUGUGGCCAAUGCAGUGCUGCAGGGAAGCCGUUAAGUUUGCCGCCUGGGAAGUACGUACGCAAGUAUGAAACUUAAAGGAAUUGGCGGGGGAGCACCACAUGGUGUGAAGCCUGCGGU